rnacentral:rRNA from 1 species
UACGUAGGGUGCAAGCGUUAAUCGGAAUUACUGGGCGUAAAGCGUGCGCAGGCGGUGAUGUAAGACAGAUGUGAAAUCCCCGGGCUUAACCUGGGAACUGCAUUUGUGACUGCAUCGCUGGAGUGCGGCAGAGGGGGAUGGAAUUCCGCGUGUAGCAGUGAAAUGCGUAGAUAUGCGGAGGAACACCGAUGGCGAAGGCAAUCCCCUGGGCCUGCACUGACGCUCAUGCACGAAAGCGUGGGGAGCAAACAGG